ACUCAGCUGCAGGAGAGACAGUAGUGCAUGCUUUCUCAGUCUCAACAGCACCAGCAUGCCACACAAGAGGCAUUUUAAGAAGUCCUAUGGCAGGAAUAGGUGUCUGCAAUCUUCUUUCUGCUUGUUGGUUUUGCUUCCCUAAAGCUGUUUCAACUUCUACUCUAGAGGAGAGGGGAUCUUUCUAACCCUUCACAUCAAGGCUCUUGUCCAUUGAGAUGAAAAGAAAUGUUUGGUCAGAAGCAUACCACUGUGAUGCCCCAUGGGCCUCGGAGUCCUGACCCCAGCGCCAUCAUGGAUCAUGAUGAUGAAAACAUGGGAUUUUUGCCGUCUCAGCAAGAGACCGUGCCAUUCCAGAUGCCUGUUGUGGACAAUUCUUGCCAAGAACUCAUUAAAACAGACCUUGAACAAGUUCUUCCCAGCGCUUCUCCCCCCUUCGUGAGACGGGAGUUCUUUGAGGCGAGCCGUUUCCAGAGAGCACAAACAAGGAGAAGCGCGAGAUUAGCAGCCAGACAGGGCGCUAAUUAGCUAGUUUCCCCUGGGAGCUUUCAGGGAGGAACGCAUCUGGAUGAAGAUGUGUUUCGCUUCUUUUUCCCUUGGGAAAAGAAGCUCUGGACACCUGUUUGCAGGAAGAUUUGAAGUUCCUUAAAAGCUUUUCGCACGGGCGAAUCUGUGCGGAGUCACCGUGUCAGUUGAAGGAUUAACUUCGGUUCUAGUUAAGUGUGGACUGCGUUUUGAGUCCGCUAUCUCUAGUCUCUCCGUGCCUUGCCUUGCUGUGUUCUUGACCGGUCACCGUGUUCCCAGCCUUGCAUCUUGUGCCAAGUACCCAGUCUUGUCUUCAGUUCCUGCCUUGGACUUACUUUGAACUCCAGUAAAACUUUGGACACUUUUCCCACUCUAACUGCUUGGAAGUUGAGUGUUUUUCAGUUUUGGCAUUACAACUUUGAACUCUAAUAUUAUAUACUGGACAAUAUAUUUCUGGACUAUAUUUGACCUUCCCUGAAAGGUCUAUUGCUGGACUACAUUCUCUACUUGUUUUUAUCCUACUAUAAUAUUUCCUUAAUAAAGA
rnacentral:lncRNA from 11 species